GAUGAACGCUAGCGGCAGGCCUAAUACAUGCAAGUCGAACGGGUGGUCGCAAGACCACUAGUGGCGCACGGGUGCGUAACGCGUAACCAACCUGCCCCGAUCUGGGGGAUAGCCCGCCGAAAGGCGGAUUAAUACCGCAUAUACCCGCAGCCUGGCAUCAGGCAACGGGGAAAGAUUUAUUGGAUCGGGAUGGGGUUGCGUGACAUUAGCUAGUUGGCGGGGUAAGGGCCCACCAAGGCGACGAUGUCUAGGGGACCUGAGAGGGUGAUCCCCCACACUGGCACUGGGAUACGGGCCAGACUCCUACGGGAGGCAGCAGUAGGGAAUAUUGGGCAAUGGGCGAGAGCCUGACCCAGCCAUGCCGCGUGCCGGAUGAAGGCCUUCUGGGUUGUAAACGGCUUUUCUCAGGGAAGAAAAAGACCUUGCGAGGUAAACUGACGGUACCUGAGGAAUAAGCACCGGCUAACUCCGUG
rnacentral:rRNA from 1 species